CCCUGAGGUUCAUCCUGACCAGCAUGGGCAUCAACGUGGAGCGCCUGGUGGAGGGCUCCAGGAAGUGUGUGACCGAGGUGGGCCCGGACGCCAUGGGGGCCAUGGGGGCCGUGAAGGCGCUACUGGGAGCCCUGACCUACUUCGGCUGAGCAGCAGCUGGCGCACCCCUGCCCGCCCGGCGACCAGAUGCUGCCGCCUUCAGGCCGGCACCUGCACCAGCCCCACCCGCGCCCUCCCCCUCAAUAAACAGUUAAAAGCA